CCCUCCGCGUCGCCGCCAUCGAGCCCAACCAGGCUUAUUUUAGUUUUUCCUUACCCCAAAAAAAGGUGUUACAGUUCUCCCCUAAUUUGUCCAUUCAACUAGAAGUUACAGUAUUUUUUUCUCAACAACCUCCAAUCAAUUUCUGGUCAUUUCCAUUAUCCUUUUCCAACAACACACAUUACAUUCAAGAUUGUCCCAAACCUUGACUUGCUCUAUGGCGGAGGUGGUGCUGGCUGGAUUACAACUGGCGGUAUCUCCAGUUU
rnacentral:lncRNA from 1 species